GACGAACGCUGGCGGCGCGCCUAACACAUGCAAGUCGAACGAGCGAGAGAGAGCUUGCUUUCUCGAGCGAGUGGCGAACGGGUGAGUAACGCGUGAGGAACCUGCCUCAAAGAGGGGGACAACAGUUGGAAACGACUGCUAAUACCGCAUAAGCCCACAGCUCGGCAUCGAGCAGAGGGAAAAGGAGCAAUCCGCUUUGAGAUGGCCUCGCGUCCGAUUAGCUAGUUGGUGAGGUAACGGCCCACCAAGGCAACGAUCGGUAGCCGGACUGAGAGGUUGAACGGCCACAUUGGGACUGAGACACGGCCCAGACUCCUACGGGAGGCAGCAGUGGGGAAUAUUGCACAAUGGGGGAAACCCUGAUGCAGCGACGCCGCGUGGAGGAAGAAGGUCUUCGGAUUGUAAACUCCUGUUGUUGAGGAAGAUAAUGACGGUACUCAACAAGGAAGUGACGGC
rnacentral:rRNA from 1 species